CCCUUAGAUGUUCUGGGCCGCGCGCGCGCUACAAUGGCAGACUCAGCGAGUUACCUCUGUCGAAAGGCACAGGGAAUCUUUACAGUAUCUGCCGUGAUGGGGAUAGACCCUUGUAAUUUUUGGUCUUCAACGAGGAAUUCCUAGUAAACGCAAGUCAUUAACUUGCAUUGAUUACGUCCCUGCCCUUUGUACACACCGCCCGUCGCACCUACCGAUUGAAUGGUCCGGUGAAGUCCUCGGACCCAGUUGAACCUCGAGUUGAACAGGGAAAGUUGACUAAAUCUUACCAUUUAGAGGAAGGUGAAGUCGUAACA
rnacentral:rRNA from 1 species